rnacentral:rRNA from 1 species
UACGGGAGGCAGCAGUGGGGAAUAUUGCACAAUGGGCGCAAGCCUGAUGCAGCCAUGCCGCGUGUAUGAAGAAGGCCUUCGGGUUGUAAAGUACUUUCAGUCGUGAGGAAGGUGUUAAGGUUAAUAACCUUAGCAAUUGACGUUAGCGACAGAAGAAGCACCGGCUAACUCCGUGCCAGCAGCCGCGGUAAUACGGAGAGGGCUAGCGUUAUUCGGAAUUAUUGGGCGUAAAGAGCGCGUAGGCUGAUUAGUAAGUUAAAACGUGAAAUCCCAAAGCUAACUUUGGAAUUGCUUUUAAAACUGCUAGUCUAGAGAUUUGAAAGAGGAUAGAGGAAUUCCUAGUGUAGAGGUGAAAUUCGUAAAUAUUAGGAGGAACACCAGUGGCGAAGGCGUCUAUCUGGUUCAAAUCUGACGCUGAGGCGCGAAGGGCUUGGGGAGCAAACCAGGGAUUAGAUACCCGU